AGUGCGUGGCCGAACGGUUACGCGGUCCGCUUAGUAAGUGGAAGAUCAUGGGUUCGAUUCCCACCUGCACCA
rnacentral:tRNA from 1 species